rnacentral:lncRNA from 10 species
GCCCGGGGUCCGAGGGGCCCGCUGCCCGGGCUCGCUGCGUGGUGCUACCGCCCCCGGGCCCGCUGCGCCGCGUCGGAGCCCCAGCAGACUUUGAGAGGCGUGUGCGACAGUGCGCGUCCUCUCCUGCCUCUGGAUGUUUCCUUGGAGCCUCUGGCCUUCGGGAAGACCGUGCCACUGGGUUAGAGUCUCCCCGACCAAGCUGGUCUCAGCAAGUGGUCUCCAUCAUGGGGGCUCGAAUCCAGGUUGAAGGGUCACCAGAGUGAUGGUUGGAGAACAUGGAACUAGCUGGAGGACACCUGAGUACUCUUAAAGCAAACCCCGUGUUACAAUUCUUGCAGUAAACAACCUGCAGCCUGCUAAGCAUUUUCAUUGUUUUACAGAUGGGUCUAGUAAUGGUAAAACUUCUUAUUCUGGCUCAAAAAGUAAAGUUUUCCAGAUGCCCUAUACUUCAGCUCAAAAAGUGGAGCUUGUAGCUGUAAUUGAGGUAUUGACUGCUUUUGAUAUGCCUGUUAAUGUGAUUUCUGAUUCUUCAUAUAUGGUUCUUUCCACACAGUUAAUUGAAAAUGCUCAGUUACGAUUUCAUACAGAUGAACAACUGAAGACAAAAACAACAAAGGGGGAGAAAGAGGGAUUAUGGGACAGCCCAUAUACAAUUGAAUCUAGCAUUAUUAACUUUAAAUUUUUUGAGUCUGCCUAAAGGCCAGAUGUUAUCAGCAGCUGAACAGCAUUUACAGAAACCGGCUGCAAAGACAGAAGCAGAACAACUGGUUUGGUGGAGAGAUCCGAUAACAAAAAGUUGGGAAAUAGGUAAAAUAAUAACUUGGGGUAGAGGUUAUGUUUGUGUUUCUCCAGGCCAAAAUCAAUAACCAAUUUGGAUACCAUCAAGACACCUGAAACCUUAUCAUGAGCCAGAUGCUGAGGAAGAGAUUCCAGGAGGAUCCUGAGGACCCCCUGGUUGCAGCCACGUCGAGGCUGACACUGAGGAGGACCCCAACUGUCAUGAGCAACACCCGUCGAACACAGCCAUCCACCUGGGGACAAAUCAAGAAGCUGUCACAGAUGAUGGAAGAAAACCUGAGGAAAGCGGGACAACCAAUCACAAUGAGUAAUUUGGUGAUCUAUCACAGUGAUGAUCACCAUUGCCAUGAGUAUUCCUUCAACAAGGGCUGACACAGAGAACAAUUAUACUUAUUGGGCAUAUUUAUCAAUCUUGUCUGGCAAUAAUGCCUAGAUGAUUUCACUCUAUGGCACAGUUACACAUGCUUUCUGAUCUCAGUAUUUACCAUAAUAAAUCUGCUCCUAUAAUUGAGGCAUACCACCCUCAAAAACCUAUUUGUAAACAAAAUAGAACCUGGCCAGAAAUAAUGAACAACUUGUUUAGUAAGAUUGCAUUGCAGAACAGGCAGAGAUGCUACGCAAUGAUUCCUAUGGGAUCAUUGAUUGGUCCCCUAAGGGGAUGUUUAGCUUAAAUUGCACCUCUCAGUCUGCAUGCCAUGGCCACACUAGUUCAGAUGGUCUGAACAAAGUGGUCAGAUGGCAGAAAUGAUAAGAAGUAUGGCAAAAGUUCCUAUUGUCUGGAACCAUGGCAGUAUAGUGUCACCUCAACCUCAAAUGAUAUGGCUCAUUGUAGGAGCUAAACAUAAGGAUUUGUGGAAACUAUUAAUAGCUCUUAAUAAGAUCAAAAUUUGGGAAAGAAUAAAAAAAGCAUCUAGAAAGACACUCUACAAACUUGUCUUUGGAUAUUACAAAAUUAAAAGAACAAAUAUUUAAAGCAUCCCAGGUACACCUGACCUUAAUGACAGAAACUGGAGUGCUUGAAGGAGCUGCAGACAGAUUAGCAGCUAGUAACCCAUUAAAAUGGAUAAAAACACUUGGAAGCUCUGUGAUUUCAAUGAUGAUUGUGCUUUUAAUCGGUAUUGUUUGUCUUUGUAUAGUGUGCAGAUGUGGAUCCUGACUCCUGUGAGAAGUAGCUCACAGUGUCAAAGCUGCCUUUGCUUUUAUCGAUUUGCAAAUCAAAUAAGGGGGACAUAUUGGGAACAGCACCCCCCCCCCCAAAAUCUGGCCAUAAACUGGUCCCAAAACUGGCCAUAAACAAAAUCUCUGCAGCACUGACAUGUUCAUGAUGGUCUUAAUGCCCACGCUGGAAGGUUGUGGGUUUACCAGAAUGAGAGCAAGGAACACCUGGCCCACCCAGGGUGGAAAACCACUUAAAGGCAUUCUUAAACCACAAACAAUAGCAUGAGUGAUCUGUGCCUUAAGGCUGUGCUACUGCUGCAGAUAACUAGCCCAACCCAUCCCUUUAUUUCAGCCCAUCCCUUCGUUUCCCAUAAGGGAUACUUUUAAUUAAUCUAAUAUGUAUAGAAAGAAUGCUAAUGACUGGCUUGCUGUUAAUAAAUAACGUGGGUAAAUCUCUGUUGGAGGCUCUCAGCUCUGAAGGCUGUGAGACCCCGGAUUUCCCACUUCACACCUCUGUAUUUCUGUGUGUCUGUCUUUAAUUCCUUUAGCACCACUGGGUUAGGGUCUCCCCGACCGAGCUGGUCUUUGCACUUCUCACUUCUGGAUAUAGGCCUCCCUAGAGGGUUUUUUUUUUCUUUUUUGAUAGGAUCUUGCUCUUUCAUCCAGGCUGGUGUGCUGUAGUGUAUUCAUGGCUUGCUGCAGUCUUGAUCUCCCAGACUCAAGUAAUCCUCCCAUCUCAGCCUCCUGAAUAGCUAGGACCACAGGCCUGUGCCACCAUGUCUGGCUACUUUAAUUUUUUUUCCCUUAGAGACAGAGUCUCACUAUGUUGCCCAGGCUGGUCUCACAUUCCUGCACUCGUCAUCUUCCUGCCUUGGCCUUCCAAAGUGCUGAGAUUACAGGCAUGAAACACUACACCUGGCCAUCCCUGGAGUAUUUCUUCCUUCCUUCCUUCCUUGCUUCCUUCCUUCCUUUUUUCUUUUCCUCCCUCCCUCUCUCUUUCUUUCUUUGUUUCUUUUUCUCCCUUUCUUCCUUUCUUUCUUUCUUUUCUUUCUUUCUUCCUUCCUUUCUUUUUCUUUCUCUCUUUCUUUCUUCUUUCCUUCCUCCUUCCCUCCUUCCCUCCCCUCCCUCCCCCUCCCCUCCCUUCCUUCCUUCCUUCUUUCCUUCCUUCCUUCCUUUCUUCCUUCCUUCUUUCCUGUCUUAUUUCAAAACACAUGUCUUC